rnacentral:rRNA from 1 species
GGGUGAGUAACACGUAUGUAACCUGCCCUAUGCAGGGGGAUAACCCGGAGAAAUCCGGCCUAAUACCGCGUAACACCUUUUGGGAGCAUUCCCGGGAGGUUAAAGGAGAGAUCCGGCAUAGGAUGGACAUGCGUCGCAUUAGGUAGACGGCGGGGUAACGGCCCACCGUGCCGACGAUGCGUAGGGGUUCUGAGAGGAAGGCCCCCCACACUGGUACUGAGACACGGACCAGACUCCUACGGGAGGCAGCAGUGAGGAAUAUUGGUCAAUGGCCGAGAGGCUGAACCAGCCAAGUCGCGUGAGGGAAGAAUGUCCUAAGGAUUGUAAACCUCUUUUGUCGGGGAGCAAAAAGGCUCUGCGGAGUCGUAUUGAGAGUACCCGAAGAAAAAGCAUCGGCUAACUCCGUGCCAGCAGCCGCGGUAAUACGGAGGAUGCGAGCGUUAUCCGGAUUUAUUGGGUUUAAAGGGUGCGCAGGCGGCGUGUCAAGCAAGCGGUAAAAUAGCGGGGCUCAACCCCGUCGAGCCGUUUGAACUGGCGCGCUUGAGUUCAGGCGAGGUAGGCGGAAUUCGUGGUGUAGCGGUGAAAUGCAUAGAUAUCACGAAGAACUCCGAUUGCGAAGGCAGCUUACCAGUCUGCGACUGACGCUCAGGCACGAAAGUGUGGGUAUCGAACGGGAUUAGAUACCCUGGUAGUCCACACAGUAAACGAU